rnacentral:rRNA from 1 species
AACGAACGCUGGCGGCGUGCCUAACACAUGCAAGUCGUGCGAGAAAGUUCCUUCGGGAGCGAGUAAAGCGGCGCACGGGUGAGUAACACGUAGGUAACCUGCCCCCCCAGUCUGGAACAACUAGAGGAAACUCUAGCUAAUGCCGGAUGAGACCACGAUCCCUUCGGGGGUUGCGGCCAAAGAUGGCCUCUACUUGUAAGCUAUCGCUGAGGGAUGGGCCUGCGGGCCAUUAGCUUGUUGGUGAGGUAACGGCUCACCAAGGCUGUGAUGGCUAGCUGGUCUGAGAGGAUGACCAGCCACACUGGGACUGAGACACGGCCCAGACUCCUACGGGAGGCAGCAGUGGGAAUAUUGCGCAAUGGGCGAAAGCCUGACGCAGCGACGCCGCGUGGGUG